rnacentral:rRNA from 1 species
UACGUAGGUGGCAAGCGUUGUCCGGAUUUAUUGGGUUUAAAGGGUGCGUAGGCGGCGUAGUAAGUCCGUGGUGAAAGCCCACAGCUCAACUGUGGAACUGCCAUGGAUACUGCUAGGCUUGAGUACAGACGAGGUAGGCGGAAUGGAUCGUGUAGCGGUGAAAUGCAUAGAUACGAUCCAGAACACCGAUUGCGAAGGCAGCUUACUAGACUGUAACUGACGCUGAGGCACGAAAGCGUGGGGAGCGAACAGG